GUUCCCUCCUCUGCAGACCCGGGAAACAUGCCUGUUGCGUCGCGCAGUGGGAGCAUUCGGCUCGCAUCCAACUGUCGGCUCGUAUAGUGUGAGGACAAUACACUCUCGACAAAUUUCCAAAUGUGGAACUCUCAGUUCUGAGAGGAGCAGUCCGAAACAAGCUGAAUUAUGUCAGCAAACUAUUUAAGAAAACGCAAGCUGAAGCUGAAUCUGUUGGACCCUCUCGAUCCGUUGGACCCAUACCUCCGGUGGAGUGAAUGCUGAAUAUUGGGAA